GGUUCUAUAGUGUAGUGGUUAUCACUCGAGAUUUUGAUAUUAAACAAUUUCUCGGAACCCCGGUUCGAUCCCGGGUAGGACCU